rnacentral:tRNA from 1 species
GUCGGAAUAGUUUAAUUAAAAUGCUUAUUUUACACGUAAGAGAUGAUCUAUAGGGUUUUCUGAUA